AUUGAACGCUGGCGGCAGGCCUAACACAUGCAAGUCGGGCGGGGUUUUCGGACCUAGCGGCGGACGGGUGAGUAAUGCGUAGGAAGCUGCCCGAUAGAGGGGGAUACCAGUUGGAAACGACUGUUAAUACCGCAUAAUGUCUACGGACCAAAGUGUGGGACCUUCGGGCCACAUGCUAUCGGAUGCGCCUACGUGGGAUUAGCUAGUUGGUGAGGUAAUGGCUCACCAAGGCGACGAUCUCUAGCUGGUUUGAGAGGAUGAUCAGCCACACUGGAACUGAGACACGGUCCAGACUCCUACGGGAGGCAGCAGUGGGGAAUAUUGGACAAUGGGCGCAAGCCUGAUCCAGCCAUGCCGCGUGUGUGAAGAAGGCCUUCGGGUUGUAAAGCACUUUCAGCGAGGAGGAAGGGUGAUGUGUUAAUAGCACAUCAUUUUGACGUUACUCGCAGAAGAAGCACCGGCUAACUCUGUGCCAGCCGCCGCAGUAAGAC
rnacentral:rRNA from 1 species